GACGAACGCUGGCGGCGUGCUUAACACAUGCAAGUCGAACGAAGUGGCGAACGGGUGAGUAACGCGUAAUCAACCUGCCCUUCAGAGGGGGACAACAGUUGGAAACGACUGCUAAUAACGCAUCCUGAAGGAGGGGAUUGGGGCUGAUUAGCUAGUUGGAGGGGUAACGGCCCGCCAAGGCGAUGAUUAGUAGCCGGUCGGAGAGGAUGAACGGCCACAUUGGGACUUAGACACGGCCCAGACUCCUACGGGAGGCAGCAGUGGGGAAUUUUCCGAAAUGGACGAAAGUCUGACGGAGCAACUCCGCGUGAGUGAUGACGGCCUUCGGGUUGUAAAGCUCUGUUAAUCGGGACGCGGUACCGGAAUAGAAAGCCACGGCUAACUACGUGCCAGCAGCCGCGGUAAUUC
rnacentral:rRNA from 1 species